GUCCAGCGUCUUACCUGUUCAAUAUUUAGACUGAUUAGCUCAUGAGAUCUAAUACUGUCAGGUAAUGACGCUGGAU
rfam:Caenorhabditis remanei strain PB4641 contig6.21, whole genome shotgun sequence.